rnacentral:siRNA from 1 species
GGCAUGUCUGCGCAACAACUCAG